GUAUAUAUACGUAUUUUUUUUCUUACUAUGUACAGGAACAAAAGCUUCUGUCUGUGACAUUGAUGUGUUUUAGGAAUGUGUCAAUUCUGACAACGUUUAUAUUUCACAUGUACAUAAUUGAAGUAAAGUGCCUUAAUGUCAAAACAUCCUGUUGUGAUGUUUUCACAGCAGCCGGGGGGGGUGUUUAAAAAUGAAAUUGACUUUUUCAAUACAAAAAUCAUUGGAAAAAAUUGAGUCUAGACUUUCACACUGCAUUUUAAAAAAAAAAGUUUUCAUUCCUUUUAUGGAAUGCAUUAAAAUGUGAAAUUUCCAAUUUCUGCCAUUUUAAGGAAAUGGAAAAAAAUCAGUCUGCCUUACCUGCUACCUCCCAGCCUGGAGGUAACUUCAUUAGAACAGUUUUUUCUGCCCAUAACUUGCUGUCUACCCUCUACUAAUAAAGACAUUUUCCUCUCCAUCUCCCAGCACAGACUAUGCCAUUUAUGUGAACAAAUUAAUCUCCAGAACUUCCAAGAUACAGAGAAACGUUUAGCAGCUGGGAACCAGGGAGAUGAAGGCAGAGAUUUUGCUACCUAAAGCAGAGGCACCGGUUCAGCCAGGAGGAGCCUUUCCGAGCCAGGCAUCAAACCAAGGAAGUGUAAGUACCUUUGUGAGUCACAAAUCCUCCUUUUCUGUGGAGUUAGACAUGACACGUAUCAACUUCUUUAUCUGUGGGUAGAGUCAUCAUUUGGAAGCUGUUCAGGGAAAGGCAGAGCCGCCUGGGAAGAAAGGGUCAUCUCUUCCGUGGGGGAAAUCAGCACAGCCCUCUGGAGUCAGAAGCCCAUGUUGAUUUCUGCCCGCUGAGAAUCAAGGAAUAACUUCCUUCGAUGCAUGAAUGCACUAUUUGUAAUCAGCAAAUAAAACCCCCUUUAAAUAAGAGCCUAAUUCC
rnacentral:lncRNA from 1 species